CCGAGGUGCCUUAGCCAAGCGUGCGCAGGGCAGGAAUAAGAAGAAAAAGCGCAAAAGAUGUGCUCAGGAGGCCAGGGUGCUUGAAGGGGAAGAUCUGCACUGCAGGCAGAGCCGACCCCUGCAGGAAGAGGAGGGCAGCAUCCAGGCUCAGUUACUUCCGUCUCUUGGAUAGCUAGCUGGUCCAGACGGU
rnacentral:lncRNA from 1 species